AUUGAACGCUGGCGGCAUGCCUUACACACGCAAGUCGAACGGUAACGGGCCUUCGGGUGCCGACGAGUGGCGAACGGGUGAGUAAUGCAUCGGAACGUACCCAUCAGUGGGGGAUAACUCUCCGAAAGGAGGGCUAAUACCGCAUAUUCUGUGCGCAGGAAAGCGGGGGACCGCAAGGCCUCGCGCUGAUGGAGCGGCCGAUGUCAGAUUAGCUAGUUGGUGGGGUAAAGGCCUACCAAGGCGACGAUCUGUAGCGGGUCUGAGAGGAUGAUCCGCCACACUGGGACUGAGACACGGCCCAGACUCCUACGGGAGGCAGCAGUGGGGAAUUUUGGACAAUGGGGGCAACCCUGAUCCAGCCAUGCCGCGUGAGUGAAGAGGGCCUUCGGGUUGUAAAGCUCUUUCGGCCGGGAAGAAAUCGCAUCUCCUAAUACGGGGUGUGGAUGACGGUACCGGAAUAAGAAGCACCGGCUAACUACGUGCCAGCCGCCGCCGUAA
rnacentral:rRNA from 1 species